CAGGGAUUGCCUCAGUAACGGCGAGUGAAGCGGCAACAGCUCAAAUUUGAAAUCUGGCUCCGUCGGGGCCCGAGUUGUAAUUUGUAGAGGAUGCUUCGGGCAAGGCCGUGGUCUAAUUCGCUUGGAACAGCGAGUCGCAGAGGGUGAGAAUCCCGUCUAGGACCGCCGGCCGCGUCCGUGUGAAGCUCCUUUGACGAGUCGAGUUGUUUGGGAAUGCAGCUCUAAAUGGGUGGUAAAUUUCAUCUAAAGCUAAAUAUGGGCCAGAGACCGAUAGCGCACAAGUAGAGUGAUCGAAAGAUGAAAAGCACUUUGAAAAGAGAGUUAAACAGUAUGUGAAAUUGUUGAAAGGGAAGCGCUUGCAAUCAGACUUGCGACGGACGGUUCCCCCGGCCUCCUGGCCGGGCUACUCCGUCACGUCCAGGCCAACAUCGGUUUGGGUGGCCGGUUAAAGACCCCGGGAACGUAUCUACCUCCGGGUCGACUUAUAGCCCGGGGUGCAAUGCGGCCCACCCGGACCGAGGAACGCGCUCCGGCUCGGAUGUUGGCGUAAUGGUUGUAAGCGGCCCGUCUUGAAACACGGACCAAGGAGUCUAACAUCUAUGCGAGUGUUUGGGUGUCAAACCCCUACGCGGAAUGAAAGUGAACGGAGGUAAGAACCCUCCGGGGCGCAUUAUCGACCGAUCCUGAUGUCUUCGGAUGGAUUUGAGUAAGAGCAUAGCUGUUGGGACCCGAAAGAUGGUGAACUAUGCAUGAAUAGGGUGAAGCCAGAGGAAACUCUGGUGGAGGCUCGCAGCGGUUCUGACGUGCAAAUCGAUCGUCAAAUUUGUGCAUAGGGGCGAAAGACUAAUCGAACCAUGGUUCAAACCCCCCCGGGACGACGCCGAUCAGGGUCGACGGGGCCUAUCAGGUGGUUCUCCAUCAGUCCUACGGGGCGACAUCGUCCUUCUGGCGGGGAUCAUCACCCGCAGCGGUCGCAUCGCGGCCGUUCACAGACUACGAGACGGUGGUCAUCUUGACGAGAAGAUGAUGAUGAUAUAGUCGGUCACGGUGGAACGUCUCCACCGUGGGUGUAUGCUGGUAGCUGGUUCCUGUCGAAGUUUCCCUCAGGAUAGCAGUAACGUUUUCAGUUUUAUGAGGUAAAGCGAAUGAUUAGAGGCCUGGGGGUUGCAACAACCUUCACCUAUUCUCAAACUUUAAAUAUGUAAGAAGUCCUUGUUACUUAACUGAACGUGGACAUUUGAAUGUAUCGUUACUAGUGGGCCAUUUUUGGUAAGCAGAACUGGCGAUGCGGGAUGAACCGAACGUGAGGUUAAGGUGCCGGAAUGCACGCUCAUCAGACACCACAAAAGGUGUCAAUGCAUCCAGACAGCCGGACGGUGGCCAUGGAAGUCGGAAUCCGCUUAGGAGUGUGUAACAACUCACCGGCCGAAUGCAUUGGCCCUGAAAAUGGAUGGCGCUUAAGCGUGCUACCUAUACCUCGCCGUUGGGGUUGAAAUGAUGCCCCAACGAGUAGGCAGGCGUGGGGGUUGGUGACGAAGCCUCGGGGGUGACCCCGGGUCGAACAACCUCUA
rnacentral:rRNA from 1 species